CGUGACGCUGGAGGAGUACACGAUCUUCGGCUCGUUCAAGGCGAGCCGGUUCCAGGUGCAGCCGGGGCUGUUCGGCGACCCGUUCGUCACGGC
rnacentral:tRNA from 1 species